rnacentral:rRNA from 1 species
UACGUAGGGUGCUAGCGUUAAUCGGAAUUACUGGGCGUAAAGCGUGCGCAGGCGGUUUUGUAAGUCUGACGUGAAAUCCCCGGGCUCAACCUGGGAAUUGCGUUGGAGACUGCAAGGCUAGAAUCUGGCAGAGGGGGGUAGAAUUCCACGUGUAGCAGUGAAAUGCGUAGAGAUGUGGAGGAACACCGAUGGCGAAGGCAGCCCCCUGGGUCAAGAUUGACGCUCAUGCACGAAAGCGUGGGGAGCAAACAGG